rnacentral:misc_RNA from 1 species
AAUAUGGCACGGAACUGAACCAAGGUGACUUGAAAAUGCCAACCUUUGAAUCAGAAGAAACCAAAGACACAGAGGCUCCCACAGCACCUCAAAAUAGCCAGUUAACGUGGAAGCAAGGCAGACAACUGUUAAGACAAUAUCUUCAGGAAGUAGGUUAUACAGAUACAAUAUUAGAUGUACGAUCUCAGCGGGUAAGAUCAUUACUUGGACUGUCCAAU